rnacentral:misc_RNA from 1 species
GAUGAAGAACGCAGCGAAAUGCGAUAAGUAGUGUGAAUUGCAGAAUUCAGUGAAUCAUCGAAUCUUUGAACGCACAUUGCGCCCUUUGGUAUUCCUUAGGGCAUGCCUGUUCGAGCGUCAUUUGAAACCUCAAGCUCAGCUUGGUGUUGGGUGUCUGUCCCCGCCUCACCGCGGGGACUCGCCUCAAAAUCAUUGGCGGCCGGUACGUUGGCUUCGAGCGCAGCAGAAACGCGAACUCGAGGCCCGGCGGAUCGGCGACCAGAAGUCACUUCUUCACAGUUUGACCUCGGAUCAGGUAGGGAUACCCGCUGAACUUAAGCAUAUCAAUAGCGGAGGA